AUAGACAUUCAAUUCUGGAAAGAUUGAAUGUUGAAAGCGCAAGUGCCAGAGGGUGAGUCUGCGGCCUAUCAGGUAGUAGGUGGUGUAACGGACCACCUAGCCUAAGACGGGUACGGGCCUUGAGAGAGGGAGCCCGGAGAUGGGUUCUGAGACACGAACCCAGGCCCUACGGGGCGCAGCAGGCGCGAAACCUUCGCACUGCGCGAAAGCGCGACGAGGGGAGACCGAGUGCCUCUCCUUUUUGGGGAGGCUUUUCGCAAGCCUAAAAAGCUUGUGGAAUAAGGGCUGGGCAAGACGGGUGCCAGCCGCCGCGGUAAUACCCGCAGCUCAAGUGGUGGUCGCUUUUAUUGAGCCUAAAACGUUCGUAGUCGGCCUUGUAAAUCCCUGGGUAAAUCGGGGCGCUUAACGUUCCGAAUUCCGGGGAGACUGCAAGGCUAGGGACCGGGCGAGGUCAGAGGUACUUUCGGGGUAGGAGUGAAAUCCUGUAAUCCCGAAGGGACCACCUGUGGCGAAAGCGUCUGACUUGAACGGCUCCGACGAUGAGGAACGAAGGCUAGGGGAGCAAACCGGAUUAGAUACCCGGGUAGUCCUAGCUGUAAACUCUGCCCGCUUGGUGUGGCUUGUACUUCGGGUGCAGGCUGUGCCGGAGCGAAGGUGUUAAGCGGGCUGCUUGGGGAGUACGGCCGCAAGGUUGAAACUUAAAGGAAUUGGCGGGGGAGCACCGCAACGGGAGGAUGCGUGCGGUUUAAUGGAUCAACGCCGGAA
rnacentral:rRNA from 1 species